AGUAAAGUUCAGGUAAUAGUUGUAUGCGUUUGUUACUUUUUACGAAAGAAUCGCAAAACAAACGAAUUUAUCGUUCUUCAAGACGCCAAGCGAAGGUCCCAUGGGACCAUGCAUCUAGCUCCAAGCACCGUUGCAUGCGCACCACCAGCAUGUCAUCUGCGAUCAAGAGAGCAAUAUGUUCUAAGUAGGACUGAUGAUGAACGAUCGACGUCGUCUUGCAAGAAAGAAUCGUGGGAAACGUUGUGUACGCUGCUUUCUUCUGGAUCCGGUCGCUAGAUGUACAUGAUGUCGCUUCACAGUAUAUUCUAUGCAGCUAGGAGACGUACACCGAUCUCUAGCUACAACGAAAUAGCGGAACGAAAGAUGGCGACGAUUCAAUAAAAUGAUACAAGAGCGCUAUACAUGCAGAAUUGAGACAUAACGUGGAUAACAAGCCCGCGCCGUGCAAGAGUUGCGUAGCUGUGUGAAUUCGAAGUGUUUUCAAAGAAUUGUCGUUUACAUUCCCAAGAGAAAAAAUCCCUCGGAGUCGCGCCGGUACCGGGUCGGGAUAGCAGCGAAGCCGUCGGGAUGGCAGUGAGACCUGUCGGGAUUUCGCCGGAUGGUAAGUGAUUCGACGCGGUCCCGAGCAUAGUCCGCGAUUCCAGCUAUAGCAACUAGACAGAGACCUGUCGGGAUUUCGCCGGAUGGUAAGUGGUCGACGCGGUCCCGAGCAUAGUCCGCGAUUUCCGCUGCGCCUAUAGACAGAACCCCGAGGUUUAUUUGCUAAUGUUCCCGGAUAAGUCCAACUGGAUGCUAACGUUAGGUUCACUGACGAAGAUCGUAGAUGUUGCUAUGUUUCUAUGGAUGGCGAUCAAAUUUGUCCUACAUGCAGAACUAGAAUCUUCUAGGUUUUUGAGGAAGACGACGUACGAGAUCUUUCGUUAGCUACAAUGGGGAAAUGUAUUUCAAUGUCGAUCCUGCCAUUUCUAUAAGAAUCAGUUUUUCAAUGAUGUUUGUAUAUGGCAGUUCAUCAAGUGUUGCAUCACAGAAACUUGUUAGACAUGCAAGGUGCUUUAGUUUGUGAAGAGUGUCUAUAAUGGCAUAUAGAAUUGGUGAACUUGGUGAACAACGAAUUCAUCUAUAUUUCCAUAUGGAAAUUCAUUUUUUCAAACUUCUACAGUGAGAAAGCCUCUUUUGCUGUGUUGAUAGCUUCUUGAUGUAAAAACUUUGCACCGUAUUUUUGAAAUUUUUGUAUUAUGCUAUACAGAUAAAUUAUACUUAAACGGCUAAUUGAGAUUUAUACUCUGAUGUGUAACUGCAUGAUUUACAUAUUGAUUGGUCAAUUUGCUUAUCUGUCAAUUCAGUCUGUUUGUCCACUUGUUGUAUUUUUGUCUCUGUUUGUUUUGUUUGCCUGUCUGUUCAACUGCCUGCUUGCUAACUUGUACUUUAAUUUAUGUGUGUUUGUCUGUGUGUGUAUGCAUGCAUGCAUGUCUUAU